UUAAAUAUAUUUUUUGGGAAGAGUACGUUUGAUACUUAUCAAAGAGAGCAUAUGGACGGUGUAAAUAUGUAUAAUGAUCAAACUGAAGGUAGCCCACAAGUUCUUUUAUUGAAUACACAUAUAAUAGUAGAUAGAAGCGUGUAUGAGCGUUAAUCAUAAAUAAGUGCAAGAAGAUAUGGAGGUAUCGUCUUGAAUUUAGGUGGUACCACGGAGCAUCCGUCCUAUAU
rnacentral:ncRNA from 1 species